AGGAACAGGACUGAAAACCACUGGCUUAGGGUAUAGAAAAAACCAGCAGGCUAAUCAUGAAGUGUUAUUCUAAACAUUGAUUCUAUUUGAAACACACGAAUAUGCACUGGUACAUUGGAGCCUUAAAUAAUAUUCACUUUAUUUUUAUUCAAACAUUAAGUUCUAGAGAGAUGCAAAAGCAUUGAUUGACAUCUCACUAAAGACACAGAAUAUCUUGUCAAGUCCACUUUGCAGGACACUUGCAGUUAAAUGAAACCCACCUCUGACUUGACACCAUGACUUGGCUACUAGUGCAGUACUAAAUCUUAAAAAUAUUGCAUCUUUAACACAAGGAAGACACCCAAGGACAGAAUAGAGAACAGCUGGUGAAGUGAUUAAAUGUAUAGGAGUAAUUGUUUAGGGCCAGCGGGAGAGGCUGUUGUUGAGAAUAAAAACAAAGACUGCUUCAAGGAGGUUUUUCCCAAGACUUUCAAAAAUCAACACAGGCAUUAAUGGUGUCCACAGCAUGCCAGAAUUAUUUAAGUAUAAAAUGAGAAGUGUGGGUAGAGAGACUAGAUCUAAAAUUAAACACAGACAAUGCUCUCAGGCAAAUGACACAGCCAAUCAAACAGCAUUUUUGUUUAUGGUACUAACGGUGUGCCCAUUGUCUGUCGGCGGGAAUUUAGUGAUUGUGAUUUACAGUACAUUGUGAAAUGUUGUAAUUCACCUCUGAACUUUAUAAAAUCCCAAAUGGGAAAAAUAUUUAAGGAACAUAGGCUGCUGUUGCAAUCUACAUAGCAGUUUCCCAACCUCAAUGGAGGCACCCCAUCACUAACAUCCAAACUAUUUCUAAUCAAACACACCUGAAUAAACGUAAUAAAUAGAUUGGUAUGGUAAGGGAGAAAUCCAAAAUGUAUACUGUCGGGGUGCCUCAAGGAACAGAGUUGGGAAACAUUGCUAUACAGAAUGUAUUGAACAUGAACAUGAUUCUAUCUUUUUCAAAAUGAUUUUAAGCAUAUUAUCUCCUAUACAGAAUGUUCUUGGGCAAGCUGUCAUCUCUGAAAAAUGUUUUUGAGCAUGUUCUCUUCUAUAAAGAAUGUUUUUAUGCAAGUUCUUUCUAAUACAGAAUGUUCUUGAGCAUGCUGACUUCUAUGCAAAAUGUUCUUGAGCAUGUUCUAUACUAUUGAAAUGUUUUGGGCAUGUUCUCUCUGAUACAGAAUGUUCUUGAGCAUGCUCUCUCCUAUGCAAAAUAUUCUAGAGCAUAUUUUUCCUAUGCAUACAGUCCUUGAGCAUGUUCUAUACUAUUCAAAAUGUUCUUAAGAAUGUUCUCUCCAUUCAUGAAUAACAUAAACAUGCUCUCCCAGGUAAAAUGUUCUUGAACAUAUUCUCUCUUACGCAGGAUACUCUUGAGCAUGUUCUUUCCUAUGCAUAAUGAUCUUGAAUGUUCUCUCCCAUGCAAAAUGUUUUUGGGCAUAUUCUCUUAUGCUCUAUAUAAGAUAAAUACAGUAAAAUAAAAGGUGAGCCGAGGUGGUGAAUUUACUGGCAAAAGGAGCUGUAGAGAUGGUUCUGCCAAAUAUAAAAUAUAACAUAAAUUCUGAAAAAACCUGGC